rnacentral:rRNA from 1 species
CCUACGGGAGGCUGCAGUAGGGAAUAUUGCUCAAUGGGGGAAACCCUGAAGCAGCAACGCCGCGUGGAGGAUGAAGGUUUUCGGAUUGUAAACCCCUUUUGUUAGAGAAGAUAAUGACGGUAUCUAACGAAUAAGCACCGGCUAACUCCGUGCCAGCAGCCGCGGUAAUACGGAGGGUGCAAGCGUUAUUCGGAAUCACUGGGCGUAAAGAGCGCGUAGGCGGGAUAGCAAGUCAGAUGUGAAAUCCUAUGGCUUAACCAUAGAACUGCAUUUGAAACUGUUAUUCUAGAGUAUGGGAGAGGUAGGUGGAAUUCUUGGUGUAGAGGUGAAAUGCGUAGAGAUCAGGAGGAAUACUCAUUGCGAAGGCGGCCUGCUAGAACAUAACUGACGCUGAUGCGCGAAAGCGUGGGGAGCAAACAGGAUUAGAUACCCCUGUAGUC